CUAUAUGAAUAAGGACCGGCUAAUUCCGUGCCAGCAGCCGCGGUAAUACGGAAGGUCCAGGCGUUAUCCGGAUUUAUUGGGUUUAAAGGGACUGCAGGCUGAUGAUUAAGCGUGACGUGAAAUGUAGCCGCUCAACGGCUGAACCGCGUCGCGAACUGGUUAUCUUGAGUGAGUUCGAUGUUGGCGGAAUUCGUGGUGUAGCGGUGAAAUGCUUAGAUAUCACGAAGAACUCCGAUUGCGAAGGCAGCCAACAAGGCCUUUACUGAUGCUAAAGCUCGAAGGUGCGGGUAUCGAACAGGAUUAGAUACCCUGGUAGUCCGCACGACAAACGAUGGAUGCCCGCUGUUUCGGAUAUACUGUGAGCGGCCAAGAGAAAUCGUUAAGCAUCCCACCUGGGGAGUACGCCGGCAACGGUGAAACUCACCGGAAUUGACGGGGGCCGCACAAGCGGAGCUACAUGUGGUUUAAUUCGAU
rnacentral:rRNA from 1 species